rnacentral:rRNA from 1 species
GACGAACGCUGGCGGCGUGCUUAACACAUGCAAGUCGAACGGAAAGGCCCUGCUUUUGUGGGGUGCUCGAGUGGCGAACGGGUGAGUAACACGUGAGUAACCUGCCCUUGACUUUGGGAUAACUUCAGGAAACUGGGGCUAAUACCGGAUAGGAGCUCCUGCUGCAUGGUGGGGGUUGGAAAGUUUCGGCGGUUGGGGAUGGACUCGCGGCUUAUCAGCUUGUUGGUGGGGUAGUGGCUUACCAAGGCUUUGACGGGUAGCCGGCCUGAGAGGGUGACCGGCCACAUUGGGACUGAGAUACGGCCCAGCCUCCUACGGGAGGCAGCAGUGGGGAAUAUUACACAGUGGGCGGAAGCCUGAUGCAGCAACGCCGCGUGCGGGAUGACGGCCUUCGGGUUGUGAACCGCUUUCGCCUGUGACGAAGCGUGAGUGACGGUAAUGGGUAAAGAAGCACCGGCUAACUACGUG